CCUAGAGGGGGACAACAGUUGGAAACGACUGCUAAUACCGCAUACGAUCUAAUCUCGGCAUCGAGGAUAGAUGAAAGGUGGCCUCUACAUGUAAGCUAUCACUGAAGGAGGGGAUUGCGUCUGAUUAGCUAGUUGGAGGGGUAACGGCCCACCAAGGCGAUGAUCAGUAGCCGGUCUGAGGGGAUGAACGGCCACAUUGGGACUGAGACACGGCCCAG
rnacentral:rRNA from 1 species